UCAUGUUUUGCUCAACAAACAGCCAAACAAAUAAUUCAAUUAAUAAGUCAAACAAUUUUCAAGUUCAAAAAUGAAAGUAGGUGUGAAAUUCAUUCUACAUUCAUCUUUGGGAAAUAUCAAGACAAUCUACACAGUGUUUCUUAUGUGUUAUUAAUCAUGUCUGAAAAUUUCUCAAUGAAAGAAGUUGUACACUUCUCUAGUUAAUAAUUCAUAUUGAAUGUCUAGGCACGAAAUCUAGUUUCCUGACAUAUUAUUAAAAAUCAUCGGAUCAUGUGUGUUGAAUUUGCUAUUGGAGCAUUAGUAUUUUCCAUGUGNNNNNNNNNNNNNNNNNNNNNNNNNNNNNNNNNNNNNNNNNNNNNNNNNNNNNNNNNNNGAAAAUUAUAGUACAUAAAAAUCUCAUCGAAAGUUUAGUCAAGUAAAAUUCUGGGCAUAUAGUCAACAUAUUCGUUUGUAGAUGCAAGAAUAUAUCCAUUUUUCGUGGCAUGUAAAUACAUUUUCAUAAUAUUCAAUUUAAUGUUAUGAAAAGAGACUAAGAUAUGUCAAAAGAAUACUCGUAAAAAAAGGUAUAGUUCUACAGAUGUAUAAAAGAAAGAAUUUCUUUGUAGACAACAUUUUUAGUACAUGUAGGGUGUAAAGUUUUAGUGCUCGACGGUUUAAGUAGAACUUUUGGUGUAAGGAGAGCCUUAUAUAAAAAGGUCUUGCCUGUUCCUCCAGGACCAUCUAUGAAGAAGAUCCCACUUGAUUUUGAAUUUACUUUUCCCAUAAUUGAAUCAUAUGCAAAUCGUUGUUCAUUAUUUAAGCUUGCUGCACAAGCAUGGCCUCCUUCAAUAUCCAAAAUUGUGGUUUCCUCUGCAACUAUUCUUCUCAACCUUUCAUUCUCAUCUAUACCUACACUAAAUGGAACGGUUUCGUAGUCAUUUAUAUUUUUACCAAAUUAUUCUAAAACAGAACUGAUGUCUUCUAAAGCUUGUAGUUCAACAACUUCUGGAGCUAUAUCUUUAUUUACAUAAUCAUCAAUCAUAUAAUCCUUGAAUUUAUCCCAUAGCAACUUUGGACUAUCAGGGUUGCAAAGCAUAAGAAGAGUAGCAAAGAGACGUCUUAAAGAAAUAGGCAUUUCAUAAAUAAUAGCUUCAGAUAAACACUCUUUACAAUGAUUGUCUCCGCUUAACAAAUCAUAUAAAAUUACAGCUUCUUUGUAUGUACUAAAAGUUUUCCCAUUUAAAGUACGUAAAUCAUGGAACGAUGUUGGACCUCGAAUAUCAUUGAGAAGAAUGAGGAGGAAAUAUCACUCUCCUUCAGAUGGCUUUGUUGUGACAAUUCGUCCAAUAACAAAUUGUUUAUUUCUAAGAGUCCAAAUCUUCUUAGUUGAAUUCCAAACAAAAUUUGUUGGGAAAUCUCGAUACAACAGUGUACAUGCAAAUUCAUUUGCUUCAUUCAUUCGAAAAAAUUCUGUUAACAUUGUCCUUUUCGUAUUUUCAUUCUCAAUAACAGUAGAUAAAUCAUCUUGAUCAUCAUAUCUUACUUGAUGAUGAUUUUCAAUAUGAAGCUAUAAAGAAUAAACUGUUGGAUAAAUCUUUGUCAAAUUGAAUAAAAAAAUCCUCCACAUAGUUUCAGGUGGAGAUAUCCAUCUAGGAGAUUGAUAAGCAAAGAUUUCAUCAAUUUCUUUCUCU
rnacentral:lncRNA from 1 species